GUACACUCCUACGGGAGGCAACAGUGGGGAAUAUUGGACAAUGGGCGCAAGCCUGAUCCAGCCAUGCCGCGUGAGUGAUGAAGGCCCUAGGGUUGUAAAGCUCUUUCACCGGUGAAGAUAAUGACGGUAACCGGAGAAGAAGCCCCGGCUAACUUCGUGCCAGCAGCCGCGGUAAUACGAAGGGGGCUAGCGUUGUUCGGAUUUACUGGGCGUAAAGCGCACGUAGGCGGACUAUUAAGUCAGGGGUGAAAUCCCGGGGCUCAACCCCGGAACUGCCUUUGAUACUGGUAGUCUUGAGUUCGAGAGAGGUGAGUGGAAUUCCGAGUGUAGAGGUGAAAUUCGUAGAUAUUCGGAGGAACACCAGUGGCGAAGGCGGCUCACUGGCUCGAUACUGACGCUGAGGUGCGAAAGCGUGGGGAGCAAACAGGAUUAGAAACCCCGGUAGUCCCA
rnacentral:rRNA from 1 species